GUCUACGGCCAUACCACCCUGAACGCGCCCGAUCUCGUCGGAUCUUGGAAGCUAAGCAGGGUCGGGCCUGGUUAGUACUUGGAUGGGAGAAGCCAAGCUUGAGUGCUCAGGAGAAACUGACA
ensembl:rRNA 5S_rRNA 5S ribosomal RNA